GCCAGAGUGGUACAGAGGUUUGAGCCUUGGACUAUGACUCUGGAGACUAGGGUUCAGUUCUCCACUUGGGCA